GACCAGACUCCUACGGGAGGCAGCAGUGGGGAAUAUUGCACAAUGGGGGAAACCCUGAUGCAGCGACGCCGCGUGAGUGAAGAAGUAAUUCGUUAUGUAAAGCUCUAUCAGCAGGGAAGAAAAUGACGGUACCUGAGUAAGAAGCCCCGGCUAACUACGUGCCAGCAGCCGCGGUAAUACGUAGGGGGCAAGCGUUAUCCGGAUUUACUGGGUGUAAAGGGAGCGUAGACGGCAGUGCAAGUCUGGAGUGAAAGGCGGGGGCUCAACCCCCGGACUGCAUUUGGAACUGUGUGGCUGGAGUGUCGGAGAGGCAGGCGGAAUUCCUAGUGUAGCGGUGAAAUGCGUAGAUAUUAGGAGGAACACCAGUGGCGAAGGCGGCCUGCUGGACGAUGACUGACGUUGAGGCUCGAAAGCGUGGGGAGCAAACAGGAUUAGAUACCCUAGUA
rnacentral:rRNA from 1 species